GGGGAGCUCAGGCUCAGAGCUGGGGCCUCGGGGAGCAGAGCUUUUGUCUCCAUCUCCACCAUGGCCCACACUCCUGUCCUCCUCCUGCACCUCCUCUUUGUGCUCUGCACAGAUUUUGUGAGUUCUUUGCCGACUCAGCCACCGUCAGCCUCCGUGGCUCUAGGGCAAACAGCCACCAUCACCUGCUCCGGAGUUAGUAGUAGCUAUGGUGCAAGCUGGUACCAGCAGAAACCCGGCCAGGCCCCUGUGCUGGUUAUGUACUAUAAUAACAACCGACCCUCCGGGAUCCCCGACCGGUUCUCCGGCUCUAAAUCCGGGAGCACGGCCACACUGACCAUCGCCAGAGCCCAGGCCGAGGAUGAGGCCGAUUAUUACUGUCAGGAUGCUAGCAGUAGUAAUCCUCACAGUGACAGAGGGUGAUGGGGAAGUGAGACA